rnacentral:rRNA from 1 species
AGAGUUUGAUCAUGGCUCAGNNNGAACGCUGGCGGCAGGCUUAACACAUGCAAGUCGAGCGGGCGUAGCAAUACGUCAGCGGCAGACGGGUGAGUAACGCGUGGGAACGUACCUUUUGGUUCGGAACAACACAGGGAAACUUGUGCUAAUACCGGAUAAGCCCUUACGGGGAAAGAUUUAUCGCCGAAAGAUCGGCCCGCGUCUGAUUAGCUAGUUGGUGAGGUAACGGCUCACCAAGGCGACGAUCAGUAGCUGGUCUGAGAGGAUGAUCAGCCACAUUGGGACUGAGACACGGCCCAAACUCCUACGGGAGGCAGCAGUGGGGAAUAUUGGACAAUGGGGGCAACCCUGAUCCAGCCAUGCCGCGUGAGUGAUGAAGGCCCUAGGGUUGUAAAGCUCUUUUGUGCGGGAAGAUAAUGACGGUACCGCAAGAAUAAGCCCCGGCUAACUUCGUGCCAGCAGCCGCGGUAAUACGAAGGGGGCUAGCGUUGCUCGGAAUCACUGGGCGUAAAGGGUGCGUAGGCGGGUUUUUAAGUCAGGGGUGAAAUCCUGGAGCUCAACUCCAGAACUGCCUUUGAUACUGAAGAUCUUGAGUCCGGGAGAGGUGAGUGGAACUGCGAGUGUAGAGGUGAAAUUCGUAGAUAUUCGCAAGAACACCAGUGGCGAAGGCGGCUCACUGGCCCGGUACUGACGCUGAGGCACGAAAGCGUGGGGAGCAAACAGGAUUAGAUACCCUAGUAGUCC